rnacentral:rRNA from 1 species
UACAUGGGGUGCAAGCGUUGCUCGGAAUUAUUGGGCGUAAAGCGCACGUAGGCGGUUUGUUAAGUCGGAUGUGAAAUCCCUCGGCUCAACUGAGGAAGUGCAUCCGAAACUGGCAAGCUUGAGUACGAAAGAGGGUCGCGGAAUUCCCGGUGUAGAGGUGAAAUUCGUAGAUAUCGGGAGGAACACCGGUGGCGAAGGCGGCGACCUGGGUCGAUACUGACGCUGAGGUGCGAAAGCGUGGGGAGCAAACAGG